UACGUAGGGUGCAAGCGUUAAUCGGAAUUACUGGGCGUAAAGCGUGCGCAGGCGGUUAUGCAAGACAGAUGUGAAAUCCCCGGGCUCAACCUGGGAACUGCAUUUGUGACUGCAUGGCUAGAGUGCGGCAGAGGGGGAUGGAAUUCCGCGUGUAGCUGUGAAAUGCGUAGAUAUGCGGAGGAACACCGAUGGCGAAGGCAAUCCCCUGGGCCUGCACUGACGCUCAUGCACGAAAGCGUGGGGAGCAAACAGG
rnacentral:rRNA from 1 species